UAAUGUCAUAAUUUCAACUACUGAUGUUACGACAUAAACACCUUGGUCCUAGGUAUCCACCCUUUGCCUUGUCCUUUAGUUCUAGUCCUGCAAUACCAACCACUUGCCGAGUAGCUCUACAUGGAUAUCUUACAAUCUCUACUUGAUUGUCCUACCCCUCACCUCAAUUCGACAUCUCUAAACCUGAAGCUAUGUUUUCCUUUGUCGGGAAACCAAGAUGUUUGUAACAUCCACAUCAGAGUUGUCUGCUAAACAAGUAAAAACAUGGAGGAACAAUAAUAAACAGUGGAGAUCAUCAAAGUGACCAAAGUAACAAAAAUAACUGGGGCUUUCUAAGAGCUACUAUUAAUGAUUUGAAGCCCGUAACGUUUGAGAGGGAGUAGCUGUCUCCUGGAGUGAACAUACACCUGCUAUUACCUCGAUAACCUCAGUUCCUUGCCUCUCAUCCUGUCAGUAUCUCUAUGUUAAUAUGAUUAAAGGCAGGGUUUUUAAUAUAUAAACAGCUCUUAAAUUACAAGUCAAUAACUACAUUUACAAUGCAGCCAAAUAAGCAGAAAUCCGUUC